AACGUAGGAGACAAACGUUAUCCGGAGUUACUGGGCGUAAAGGGCGUGUAGGUGGUUUCGUAAGUCUGGCGUGAAAUUUUUCGGCUUAACCGGGAAAGGUCGUCGGAUACUGCGGAACUAGAGGACGGUAGAGGCGUGUGGAAUUCCGGGUGUAGUGGUGAAAUGCGUAGAGAUCCGGAGGAACACCGACGGCGUAGGCAGCGCCCUAGACGAGACCUGACGCUCGGGCACGAAAGCGCGGGGAGCGAACAGG
rnacentral:rRNA from 1 species